UUUUUCAGCAGUCCAAAUGUUGAAGAAAAUGGAGAUGAUUAACCCCAAACAGAUCAUCUAUGAAGAGAAAGAAUGGUCAUCUGCCAAGAGGACCUGUCCUGCUAAAGCUUCUGCAGUCCUCCAAGGGUCAAAGACAUUUUUUGUCUUCAUGUCCAGUUUCUCCUGUGUUGUAAGUCUCAGGUCUUCCUGCCAGAGACACAGAUUUCCUUAGUCCACACUUUGCACAAAGCCACCACACCACGUUUUGUGAUUUAGCCCUUCAAAAUAGACAUCAGACCUGAGGGAACCACACUGACACAUGGAGUCUGAAUUCUGGGGCACAGAAUAAAUAGCCCUGUACAUCACAGGGCACCACCUUCUCUGUGCGUGUUUCUAAAUCUUACUUUUUUUUUUAUACUAGGAAUUGAACCCAGGGACAUCUCCUGGGAUGUUACUGAGCUACUGAGCUACCCUUCCAACCCUUUUUGUUUUUUAUUUUGAGACAGAGUCUCACUUAAGUUGCUGAGGCCAUCUUUGAACUUGUGAUCCUCCUGCCUCAGCCUCCUGAGUAGGUGGGAUUACAGAUGUGUGCCACCACCCAGCUUCUAAGUCUUCAUGUAUUGUUUUCUCAAUCUUUUCAUGUUGUGGAUGGAGGUAGACAAUAAGGAAGUUUAGCUCUUUGUCCCUUUUUGUCUGUUAGCUUCUGUCCUGGGGUUUUUUCUCUUUGCUCUUCCAGAGCCCUUUCUAUACAUCCAUCACAGGCCAGUGAGGUCGGCCUGAACAGACAUCAAUAGACUCAUGCUUUCUGGCUUCUGGUUGGGUUUGGCUAAAGGAAAUCAUCAGUGGGAGAUGGGAGCAAGGUGCAAAGUGGGGUGGAGGUAUUGGUGGUAUUAGUAGGGACUUAUUAGUAUUGCUCAGUUCCUUCCAGUUUAAGAUGGGUGUCUGAACUGGGUGCCAGGGUGUGUAAUUCCAACUACUAGGAAAGAGGAAGCAGGAGAAUCGCAAGUUCAAGGCCUGCUUGGGCAAUUUAGUGGUACUUGUCUGAAAAUAAGAUUUUAAAAAGGCUGGGAUGUAGCUCACUGAUAGAGUGCUUGCCUAGUGUGUGUGAGGCCCAGGGGUUCAAUUUCUAGUACCAGAAAAACCAAGCAAGCAAGCAAGCAAUGGGUGGUGUGUAUCCCACUCCUAAUGGGUAGCCUUUUCCUUAUAGCUGCUCUCUUUGGAAGCCCAGAUAUUUCUUCCCUGAGAUCCUUCAGGCCUAGAGAGGGCAACCAAGGGACUGUACUCUCUGUUGUUGAUUUCUUAACUCCUGCCCACAUCUUUGCAAAGGUUCCUUUAUUAAAAUCUCCUCAACUAACUUAGUUUGCUUGUUAUUAGUUUCUUGCUGGGACUGAUGGAUAGUAUUUUUUAUGUUUCUGUUCCCCUCCCCCCCACCGCCCCUUCCUGUCGUUUAUAUCCUUGUGUGCUUGUUUGGUAUUGGGAAUUAAAAUCAGGGCUCUUGACCACUGAGCCACAUCCCCAGCCUUGUUUUGUAUUUUAUUUAGACAGAGAGUUUCACUGAGUUGUUUAGCACCUCGCAAUUGCUGAGGCUGGCUUUGAACUCUCCAUCCUCCAGUCUUAGCCUCCUGAGCCUCUGGGAUUACAGGCAUGUACCACCAUGCCCGGCCUUGUUUUUAAUUUUGAAACAGAGUCUUACUAAGUUGCUGAAGCUGGCAUUCAACUUGUGAUCCUCCUGUCUCAGUCUCCUGAGUUUCUGGGAUUACAGGUGUGUGCCACACCAUGCCUGGUUAUCCAUAUUUUUAUCAAAGUAAAAUUGUAUUUACUUACCAUAUUUUGGGAUGGUGAUGAGCUUCAAUUAGUGAAAAACUUAAAUUAUUUGAAAAAUGUUGAAAGCAAGGUAUUGUUGUGGCUGGGAGUAUAAAAUGGCAUAACCACUGGAAAACAAUUUGACAGUUUAUUAAAGAGUAAAAUACAUAGACAGGUGGGGUGUGGUGGUGCACACCUAUAAUCCUACCUAUUUGGGAGACUGAGGCAGGAGGAUCACAAGUUCAAGGCUAGCCUUGGCAACUUAGUGAGACUAUGUCUCAAAAUAAAAAAUAAAAAGGGCUGAGGAAAAGCACCCUGAUGUUUGAUCCCCAGUAACUAACACACACACAUGCACACACACACACAGGUAAAAUCCACUUCUAUCACAUGAUUUAGCCAUUCCUUUUGUAGGUAUUUACUCAAGAGAAAGCCUAUAAGGAUUUUUACAUGAAGAUUCAUAGGACCCUUGGAUUCAACCCCUAAUACCUAAGACAAACAAACAAACAAACAAACCAAAAAAAAAAAAAAAAAGAGAGAGAGAGAGAGAGAGGAAAAACCAAACCAAAACCAAAACCCCAAACACUAAUUGUGCACUUUCAAUACGUGCGAUUUAUUAUGUGUCAGUUUUAUUUCAAAAAACUAUUUAAAAUAACAUGCAAUGAAGGGCUUAAAGAUAAUAUAGUAGUUUCUAUUGCUGCUGUAAUGGUCUACUGCUCACUUAGUGGCUUAUAGCAAUGUGAAUUUGUUCUCCUGUAGUUCUGGAGGUCAGAGGUGUGAGAUUAGACUUGUGGACAUAAAGUCCAAGUGUUGACAAGGCUGGUUUCUUUUGGAGAGUCUUAGGGGAUAAUCCAUUUUCUUGUGGUUUUUGGCAUCUAGUGUCCACCUGCAUUUCUGCCCUGUGGCCCCCUUCCUCAUCUUCAAAGUGCAUCCGCUCCAGUCUCUGUGGUAUAUCACUUUCUCUUCUUCUAGUAACACCACCUCCUCCUCUCUUUUCCCUCUUAUAAAUACGCUUGUGAUUACAUUCAGGGACCACCGGGCUAACCUGGGAUAAUCUCCCCAUCUAAAGAUCUUUAACUUAAUCAUACCUAAAAAGCCUUUUUUUUUUUGUCACAUAAAAAAUAUUCACAGGCUCAAGGGAUUAAUGUGGGUAUCUUUGGGGUCAUUAUUCAGCUUACCAGAGAUGGUACAUUGUUCACUCUGUGAAAAUGCAUAUUGCUUAAAAUCUGGGAAUGACUUUUCUCUUUUUCUGCUUUGCAUUGAGGUAUUUGUAAACAGCCUUGGCUCUUGGAAAGAAGGGAACAACUUCCAGGUGGGAUACUAUCUGAAAAAUCUCACUGUACAGAACUCAUUAGCUGUGCCACUUCUUGUGCAGAAUUAUAAAGCAAACUCAGUGUAGCAGCCUAUAUGUUUCAAGCCUACUCUCACAUGGAUGAUGCUUUUUCCUGAAGAAAGGGCAGGGGGAAGAAUGGAUAUUUGUUCUAAAGCUAAUCUUUAUCUUCCAAGAUUCAAUCUGUCUUUCAUUAGCUCAUCUUUUUUUUUUUCAUAAUACCCAAUGCAAUUUUAAUGUCUUUCACCCCACAUUUUUUUCUGGUGCAUUAUAGAUGUACAUGCUGAUGGAAUUUGUUGUUAUAUUUCUGUAUAUGCACAUGAUAGACAAAAUAACAAUAUAAUUUGGCCAGUAUCACUCCCCAGCACUCUACCCCUUCAUUAGCUCUUCUUUAAUCACAAUCCUGGUCUGACCAGUGUUGGGAAAAUCCUCACCACCUGAUCACUUUCUAGAAAGCAAGCAUCAGGGUCCACACGUAGAGCCCCUUCUCGGGGAAGCUUUGAGAUAGAGCUCUGACUCCUACAUCAGGAUAGACCCUUGGGUUUUGUUGACCCCAGACCCUGGUCUUGGAAAUCUUUCUCAGAGGAGUGGGGGAGGUUAGAGGUAAGAUGUAUUAUUUCAGGGAAUGAGGUUGGAGGGAGACUUUGCCUCUUAAGAAGCCCUGUGGGGGCAGCAGAUGGAAUCAGAAUAAAGCUGUUGUUGCCCUCACUCUCUGGGGUGGCCACUUUGUAUCUAAACUGGCUUAUACUGGUAGAAGGCUCCAUUUGUGGAAGCAGCCCUGUCCAGUCCAAAACUUUCUCCAGACUGGGUAUUCUCCAAAAGAGGGAGUCACAAACAAAUAAGAGACUCAAGACUUGAAUAUAGACUGAGUAGCUGGUGGUUGAGUUUUGGGUAUUUCUAGCAAUGACUUUGGGAUCUACUGGAUGGUUUUUAAGUGGUAAAUUGAGGGGGAUAGCCCAGAUUUACAAGGCAUUUCCUGAAGGCAGGGGAGAAAGUCCUGUUUGUUCCUACUUACUUCUCUGAUAGGCUAGUUCUCCUUCACAAAAUGUAGAGUCUGGGGACUCUGCUGUCUCUCCUCUGCAAAGGUCAGGUGAGGGAGGGUGUGGGAGCCUGGGGAGAUGGGAGCAAGGUCAGGUGUGGACAUAACUGAAGUUCCAUUCCUUGCCUGAAGGGGUCAGCAAAGACCCAGGUAGGGUGAAGACAUCUUGACUGAAGAGAAGACAUUCCCAAGAGUCCAUCUGGCCCCAAGACAUAGCUCCUGCCUAGCUGCUUCUGGUUUCUCUGCCUGAACAUUGACAGCUCUUCCCACAGGGUGCCCUACUUGGCUGGAGAUACUGGGUGGGCCCUGACUGUUGGAUAUAGGAAAGGGAAUGGACCCCUGGGUCUGGAUUGAAGGGGCCAUCAAUGUAUAGAAUUCUCCAGCUCUCUCCUCUUGGGCAUUCCUGGGAUGUCUGUGUUCCAGUCAGAGCCUGCAAUCAAGCCAUCAAAGCUAAUAAGAUUAUUUCUGCGUUAAAUGAAAUUAUGGAUGAAGGAUGGAGAUGCAGGGAACAGACUAAUGGUUCUAAUGUUUUUUUCCAACCUUUCACUUCUCAAUAAAGUGCAAUCAUCUGACUCCUUGUUUAUGUUCUAGGAAAAUGAUGACUCCUCUGAGAAGCUGUGAUUAUUGUGUUCCUCAUUCGUCGGUGUCUAGUUGGGUGGGAUCAGGCAGAAGGAACCCUGGUGGAGAAGGGCAGCAAGUCAUAGUCUGCCUCUUGGAUGAGCAUCUCACUUCUUACCUAGUUUCUUUGGUUGCUAUACUUUCAAUAAUAUUCUAUUUAUUGUCAAAAUAUUUUUAUUUUUAAUACAAAAUAUUAUAAGAAUAUAUUAUCAUUAAAAAAAUAGAGGGAAAGCAAAAGCUCCUUACUUCACUCAUCCUCUCCUCUCCCAGAAGUGCCUACUGCUGUUCAUUUGAGGGAAUAUCUUUCUCUCUCUGUGUAGUGGUUUGAAAACUUGUCUACAAUUACUUUAUGCCACUUCUUUCAAAAAGCAAAGACUAAUUUCCCUUGCCUUAAGGGUGGAAAGUACUUGGUGACUCACUUUUAAGGCAUAGAAGGUGGCAGGAGUGAUGAUUUACGAUGUCUGAAAUUAGGGCAGAAAUGGGUAGGGGCUUCUUCCUUUUCCCUGCUCUCUCAGAGGACAUGCUUAGGGAGAAUCAGCUGCCAUGUUGUGAGGACACUCCAGGGGACCUAAGGAGAGGUCUCUGUGUUGAGGAACUGAGGCCUCCUGCCAGCAGCCUUGAGUGAACUGUAAAGAAAUAACUGGACUAGGUUCUGCCCCCUGUGAAGGUAUAGGCUCUCAGAUGACAUAAACACUUUUUUAUAUUGACAAAGAGUUGCUAAGUGGGUUGAUUUUUUUCUUGGACCAGGGAUUGAACCCAUGGGUGCUUAACCACUGAGCCACAUCCCCAUCCUUUUUUAUUUUUUAUUUUGAGACAGGUUCUCACUAAGUUCUUAUAUCCUCCCUGAGUUGCUGAGGCUAGCUUUGAACUUGUAAUCAUCCUGCCUCAGCCUUCUGAGUCACUGGGAUUACAGGCAUGCACCACCAUGCCCAGCAGUAGCUAAGGGUUUAAAUAACAGGUCUGACUAUUAUUUAACAGAUAAUAAAGCUCGGGUUACCUGGUGGUUGCUGAUAUCGGAUUGCCCUUCAGCACUAGAGAAGUUAUUACCCCAUCUGCUGGAGUGCUGCUGGCAGAAGCCCUCAACAAUUACACCUCAGGAAUUUUCUAAACUAGAAACAGUUGUCUUGCCCAGGGUCAUGCCCACUUCUUAGCAGCCCACAUUCAGGGAUUGGUUAAUGAUGGCACAGAACUCGGCCCUUCUGCCCCAAUUCAGGAGGCUCUGAAGAGCCAUCCCAUCUUCAGAGCUCCCUGCAGGAUUGGCCAAGGCAUCCCUGGGCUGCAUUGCAGCUAAACUUCAUUCUGUAUCCAACACCUUCCCUUUCACAGCUCUUGAUACCAAAAGCACUCCUGCAUGCUGGUCUCUACCUCAGAGUUCACUUACUGAGAAACCCAAGUGGGGAUAAUGGGUACCAGGAGUGUUCUAAGAAGGGAGGUGAAGAGAUAGGUCUUAGAGCUGGAUUAUCAGCCACCCAGCUGGCAUCAGUGGUGGUAAGGUGGACACCCAUAACCUGAAGAAGGUGACCAUGCAACUGCUCACUGGUUAUGAGCUGUGAUUGUAUUCUUGUGGAAGGGAAUGCAUUAACUGGUGCAAGGUUUCAGGCAUUUGAGAAAUAUGGAGGAUAUGGUUAUUAUAUUGAUGCUCAGAAAAGGGUAACAAAGCCAAGAGUAAUUAAUCAUUUAUUGUAAAUGUUGUCAAUGCUGGAGGAGCUCCUGGGGGGCAUGUAAAGAAGCUAUUACUUCCUGCAGCCAGAGGACAGAGACAGUUGAUAAUCAGACUCAGGGCUUAAGAGCAGGGGAGCUCCACAGAAGGUUCAACCCCACUAAGGCAGAUCUGCUGUGCCCGCCAGGGACCAGGGUGGGAAAGAACAUAUCAGAGUUGAUGCACCCAGAAUCUUGAACCCCACAUUUUCCCCUAGGAAUCAAGGGGAAAGAAGCAGGAGUGGCCCUGUUAGCUAUCUUUCCCAGUGGCCAACAGGGGAAAUUUCAUCCUUAUCCCCAUAUUUUUGGGGGUCUGUGAAGUUAGAGGUCAUGGAUCCCAAAGGGAAAUGCUUCCACUUGGGAACAGGCAAGAAUUUUAUUGAACUAUAAGCUGUGGCUUCAUUUAGAUACUUUGGGUUCCUUGUGAAAGAACAACAGGGAAAUAGAAGAUUCACCAUCAUUUUUUUUUGUACUGGGAUUGAACCCAAGGACGCUUAACCACUGAACUACAUCCUCAGUCAUAUUUAUUUUAUUUUGAGACAGUCUCACUAAGUUGCUUAGGUUGGCCUUGAACUGGUGAUCCUUCUGCCUCAGCCUCCUGAGCUGCAGGGAUUACAGGUGUGCACUACUGAUUUUGCAUCUUGAGAGGAUUGAAUGACUGACCCCUCUUAAGCAGGAAAGAACUGCUAUAACAGGGAGGGGCACAUGAAAAAGGCAAUAUGGGAACUAUCUUAAAAUAUUAAUGGAUAUAAGCCUUUGACAUAGACAUGUACUUUGUGGAUAUACUUGCAAAAAUAUACCAAAAUGUAUAAAUGAGACAGUUCAUGUUGGAAUGAUUUGUAUUGUAAAACUCAAAACAAAACAAAAAUGGCUACCUGGAAGCUACUUAAUAUUUAUUUGUUAAUAAAAAAUUGGCUAACUGUAUGGCAUAUCUAUCCUUAUCACAAAACUCUAUGCGUGUAUUAAAAGAAUAAAGUAGAGCUGUAUGUGCUGGUCCCUAAGAUGCAUUAGUAAGUGCAAAAAUUAUAUCCCUUUAUAAACAUAAAAAUAAAUAUCAUGUUGAUAUGCACACACACAACACUUUUUUUUUCUGAGAAAUAUAUUCUUCUUCUUCUUCUUCAGCAGUGAUUGUCUUUGGGGAGUGAAGUUGGCAGAUUUUAAAUUUUAGAAAAAUUUUUAUAUUUUUCAUAAUAUUUGACUUUUCUAACCAUGUAUUAUGUUGUUUUCAUUUAUAAAUAGUUAAUAGCAAGUAACUGGAAAGUGGUGGUCUCAUAAGCCAUUUUAAUUUUAGUCUUUAAAAUUUUUUGCUUGAAAAGAAUGAAUGAAUGCUAUAGAAACCAGGACGAGAAAUGCAGGUAGGUUAAUAUUCUGCUCCCUGCUUUUGGGCUUUGAAUCACUUGUGAAUUAAAUUCUAAGAUAAAGCAUCUGAUGAAGAAUCCAUUUGAGUAUAAUCACCCUGAAACUUCUCAGUCCUUCACCCCAUCCCCUUAGCCUCCCCAAGAAGGAGCUGUAUCUUCAGGGGUUGAGUUACAAAAGGUGUGUGUGUGUGUGCGCACACACGUGUGCAUGUGUACAUGCAUGCAUAUGCGUUGUGAUGAUAUGGAGGGAUAACGACCUUCUCCUGGCCGCACUCAGUUCAGGGGCCCCACAUACAAAUUGACAGACACACUCGUCCAAUCUACUGCUCUUCAGAGCCAUGCUGAGCCCUUGUGAAACCUGGGGCUGGUCUGGGAAGUUUCCCUCUCAUAUCAUGCCUGGGCUGAGCUCUCUGUCCACACUGCCCUGGAGUCAGAGGCAGCUGUCUGUCCCUCCUCCUUCUCUUCCUCCCCGUGGAUUCCCUCUCAGGGGCUCAGCACUAGUUCAGCCAUCUGGUCUUAGGGACUGUUCAACCCCUCAGGCAUGCUAUAGUAACCCCAUCUGUCCAAACAACUUAGAUUCCUUCCUCUCAGAAGUCCUUUGGUCUCUAUCUAAGUGUGUAAGAAAGAGAAAGAGAGAUUUUUGGGUGUGUCUGGAUGCCCGGUAGCAUCAAGAACUGUGUCAUAUCCCAGUGGGCACAUCAGGGGAGUGGAGAUGUGACCCUGUUUACUGCAGAGUUUGCACCUAGGUCCACCAUCAGUUAAUAUCCUUUCACUCCUGUACAAGAAAUUCACAAGGGGAUGAAUCUCUCUGCUGCUAAAUCCUGUGACAUCCCCAUAACCAGGACUGGGGUGGCCACAGCAUUACCAGAUUUAGUUGCUGCCCUCAGGCUCUGUCUCUUUGUUUCCCUGGAAUGUCAGUUCUUCCCAGGGAGUGCCAAAUCCUCAAGGCGCUGGGGGUAGGUUAAUGAUUCAGAGUCUCCAGCAUUUUGGCUUAGAUUCAGGGAAACAAAACUGGAUGGUGUAUGGGGCUGGAGAACUGAAGAGCCCUUCUUCCUAAACUGGAACUUUGUGACUUUGCAGUUGGUGAUCAUAAUAUUCCUGGUCCACAGUGGGAUCAAGCAGUUCUCUGUUUUAGCAUUAGUAAAGACACAAGCUUCUUUUCAAAUUUGAUUUUGAAGAUGUUAAGAUUAUGUCUCUAAUCAUGUACUCUGGAACAUUCCUAUUAAUUCAGUUCAAUAGACAUUUAUCAAGUGGCCAAAUUAUCUAACACUGCCUUAGGCUUAGAAAGUAUAUAUUCCAUUAGUAAACAACACUAUUGCAGUGGAAAAAAAUCAGAAAGGUGUUCAGGAAUGGGAGGGUCAUCUGAGAAUCUGUUUAUGGCUACAAUGCUUAGAAGGCACGCAGGAUAGGUAGAAUGGAGCUGGAAGAGACCAGAAAGUUCUAAAGAGAAAGAAUAAGAUCACACCUGUAAUCCCAGUGACUCAAGAGGCUAAUGCAGGAGUAUCACAAGUUAGAUCCAGCUUCUGCAAAUUAUCAAAGCUCUCUGCAACUUAGAGAGACUCUUUCUCAAAAUAAAAAAUAAAUUAGGACUGGAGAUGUAGCUCAGUGGUAAGUGCUCCUGGGUUCAAUUCCAGUACCCAAAUCAAACAAACAAAUUAAAAAAAAAAAGAAGGAAUAAGCAAAUCUACUUCAUUCAUAUCCCAGAUGACCUCUGGAAGUAGAUUCCUAGAUACAAUGCCUAGGUGCAUAGCUGUCCAUUACAGUAUUAUAGGCUUCUGAUUCUCUUCAUUUAUUUCUCCCUAAAGCUGUUCUUUCUCCUGAUCUUGGUUAUGGUAACUGAGUAAGGUCCCAGCCCUUGAGUAGGAUAGCAUUUGUCUGAAGGAGAAGCGGGAAUUGAAGUUGAAGAAGCUGCAUCUAUAUUAAAGAUACAUGGGCUCUUUGAUCUUGGGUGACUAAAACAUCAUGCUCUUGGAGAGACAGAAUGUUAUAGAUCAAGAGCCAAAGUUAUCUUGGGCUAUCUUUAGUCCCCAUUACUGGGCACUUAAUAUCAAGCUCUGUAUCUGACCUAACAUCUCUUGACUUCUGGAUACAAUUCUUGGAAUGUAUUGCUAAGCUUGACACACUUCUAGCCUCCACCAAGCCUAAAGCUAAGACUGCAAUAAAGAAAACAUAAAAAAUGUCACAGAGGACAUGCUGGGGAUGUAGCUCAGUGGUAAAACAGUUGCCUAGCAUGUAAUGUUAUUGUGUGAACUGAUCAAUACAAUCAAUAAGUAUAGGUUAUAGACUGUAGGAAUAAAGAUUUUGAUAAGUAAGAUAACAGAAAUAAGUAACUGUAAAACAUAGGAUUUAAACCAUAGAGACAGCUGCAGAACCUAUUUCUGAGAAAACAAAAUGAAAACUAUUUUCUGUUAAAUUUAAAAAAAAACAUAUUGUCUUCUGUACUUUGUACCCCACAAAAUGUACUCAAUCCAGGAUACAGUGGUCUUGGUGACCUAUAUGACUUUGAAGUAGAUUCUUGUCCCCUAUAACUGCCUGCUUGACAGUUGUUUAACACCUGCUCGGACCCAAGAUGUGGCUGAGUUGUUCGGCUAACAGCUUUUUUUGCUUCUGUAACUUGCUUGCUUGCUAACUAAAAAAUUCCUUAGGUUGUAGUUUUCUCCUUAAAUAGCAAAUUUCCCUCAGAGGGGGGCUGCUGUUCUUUUAGCGAGCCACUUUGGACUCUUGUUAGAUUCGGCC
rnacentral:lncRNA from 1 species